GGGUCAGUAGGUUGGUCGUGCCACCGGUACGUACUGGUCUCACUGAUUCCUCCUUCCUGAAGAACCGUAAUGCCAUUAAUUUGGUGUUGCGGGGAAACAGGACUGUUACUUUGAAAAAAUUAGAGUAUUUAAAGCAAGCUAACGCUUGAAUACAUUAGCAUGGAAUAAUGAAAUAGGACGAUCGAUCCUAUUUUGUUGGUUUCUAGGAUUGACGUA
rnacentral:rRNA from 1 species